GCCAGCCUUGGAGCAGCUGGGCACUCUGGUGGGUGGGGGACUCACAGGUUUAGAGUAAUAAAUGCUGCUAGGAAGGGGAGCCUGACCUUCACAAGGGUCACUGCCCCUCUAGGAGAAUGCGGCUGGCCUGGAGUGACUGCAGGGAAGGCUGCCCCUCCCAGCUCCUCCUGCACCAGAUAAUGAUGGCAAUUUUGCCCUUGAGACUGUGAAGCUCUCACACAAAUAAAAGUCUUACUGCCAGCGAAGGCUGGGCUCUUUAGAAUGCAGGUCCCCUGUGCCUGUAGCGGCAGCUGUCAGCAGUAGUGUAGGUGGAUUGAUGGAGCCCUGGGGUGGGAGAUGGUGGCAGCCUUAGGAAAGGGAGGGGACAAAGGUCCCAAACCACAUUGACACUGGCUUUAUGGUUUUGUUCAGAGAGGCCCCUAUCUCCAGAUCCCCCUCAAAACAACAAAGGGUGACGUCUGUGCCUGUGGGAUACAGAAAUCCUGAAAUAAUUAGCUCACUAGCAAGGAUCCUCGAGCACCUGCUGCUGUGCUGGCCCUCCUGGUGCAGAGGUGAGGCAGGGGUGGGGACCCACAGACAGACAAAAUUCCCAGCCCUGGCCACAUGGUGCAGGCAGCUGGCCAGGCCACUGCACCAGUACACUUGGGGACAGGGUGAGGGUGGGGUCCCCAAAGCCUUCCAAGGGCAUUUAGGAGCCUCUGUGGACAGCGGGCCCGGCACUCAGGAAGCACGGGGCCUAUCCACGGCAGGAGCGAGAGCCAGGCUGGGGGCCCAGGGCCAGUUCGUGGGCAGCUGGUGUGCAUGCGUCUUGGGCUCCUGGGUGCCUGGAGCAUGAAAGGCAUCUGGUGCUUUCUGGGGUCCAGACUUCUCUGAAGACGAGCUCUCUAGAGUGUCAGUCUCUGGCGCUGGCAGGACUGCCUCCCGGAGCAGGGACCGGCUGCCAGGAGAGCCCUGGGGACUGAUUCCAUUAGGAUGUCUGAGACAGUCCCCAUUCCCGGAAGAGCAGCAGAGCAGGCGGGGGUGGGGUGGGGUGCCAGGCUGGUGCAGAGGCUGCGGGCCGUGCCCUGAGGUGUUCCACAUCUGCCCGGCCCGACAGCAGGUGCAGGUGUUGGCUCAUCUGAGAGUCACGGGGGUUUCCUUGCCUUCGAAGGAGGGGCUGCCCAGGAGCCCUGCCGACUGCAGCCUGGCUAGCAAGGACCUGGGUCACACCUCCCUCUGCAAGCUCAGGCUGUUUGUUGGGUCGGAAGUGCUAUAAGAACCAUGUGGUGACAAGCGUUGCGGGGUGACACACUGCCUGCUCUUGGGCUGCUUGAGCAGGGCUGGGGAGGAGGCCCAGAUGUGCUGCGCAGGAACAUGGGGCUGGGGGACCUCCGGCCCAGGAGCCGCCUCCAGCUCCCCUGCCGGCAGCAAACCCUUACCCUGUCACCUCACCACAGCCAGGUUACUCAGCAAGCAGGAAGGGCAUUGCCGUCAGAGAUUGGCAUGCAUCUUGACCCUGGUGAUGGGGUUGGCCUUUCUGUCACUCGGGAGCCACUGUGGGUGACCAUGCCGGGCUGGCGUGGGGCCAUGCUCAGCACGGGGCCCCCGAGGCUUCGGGACUCAUGGGAACCAGACACAGUGUGCGCGCAGGGCACCCUUGGCCGGUGGCCUGGGAUGGUCCUGGAUGGCGCCUGCUGCUCAAGAGCCAUCACAAGGAGUGGCCCUCCAUUCACUUCCAGAGCAUCCUGCCUGUAAGACAUGGAUUAAAU
rnacentral:lncRNA from 1 species